rnacentral:rRNA from 1 species
UACGUAGGUGACAAGCGUUGUCCGGAUUUACUGGGCGUAAAGAGCGCGCAGGCGGUCGUUCAAGUCGAGUGUGAAAGCCCCCGGCUCAACUGGGGAGGGUCACUCGAUACUGAUCGACUCGAAGGCAGGAGAGGGAAGUGGAAUUCCCGGUGUAGUGGUGAAAUGCGUAGAUAUCGGGAGGAACACCAGUGGCGAAGGCGACUUCCUGGCCUGUUCUUGACGCUGAGGCACGAAAGCGUGGGGAGCAAACAGG